UACGUAGGGUGCGAGCGUUGUCCGGAAUUAUUGGGCGUAAAGGGCUCGUAGGCGGUCUGUUGCGUCAGGAGUGAAAACUCGGGGCUUAACCCCGAGCCUGCUUCUGAUACGGGCAGACUAGAGGUAUGCAGGGGAGAACGGAAUUCCUGGUGUAGCGGUCGAAAUGCGCAGAUAUCAGGAGGAACACCGACGGCGUAGGCAGCGCCCUAGACGAGACCUGACGCUCAGGCACGAAAGCGCGGGGAGCGAACAGG
rnacentral:rRNA from 1 species